GCUAUGCCACACCCCCAAGGGAAUUCAGCAGUGAUUAACAUUAAACAUAAGCGACAGCUUGAUUCAGUUAAGGUAAAGAGAGCCGGCAAAUCUGGUGCCAGCCGCCGCGGUUACACCACGUGGCUCAAGUUGACCUUAUUCGGCGUAAAGCGUGAUUUAAGAGACUUGCCUCUGGUGUUGAAAAAGAACUAAGCUGUGACACGCNNNNNCCUCAGAAGACCAAAAACGAAAGUUACACCAACUGCAUCAACUUGAACCCACGACAGCUUGGAAACAAACUGGGAUUAGAUACCCCACUAUGCCUAGCCGUAAACCUUAAUUUACACCUCAAUCGCCUGGAAACUACGAGCAAAGCUUAAAACCCAAAGGACUUGACGGUACCCCAAAUCCACCUAGAGGAGCCUGUCCUAUAAUCGAUAACCCCCGCUUAACCUCACCUCUUAUUGCCCAUCAGCCUGUAUACCUCCGUCGUCAGCUUACCACGUGAGCGCCAUUAAGUGAGCCCAAUGUUUAUACAUCAGCACGUCAGGUCAAGGUGCAGCUAAUGAAGAGGGAAGAGAUGGGCUACACUUUCUAACUUAGAAAAANCGAAAAGCUAUUUAUGAAACCUAGCCAGAAGGAGGAUUUAGUAGUAAAAAGAAACUAGAGUGUUCUUUUUAACCCGGCACUGGGGUGCGUACACACCGCCCGUCACCCUCUUCAUUAACUAAACCCUAGUACUUAACUAACAUGUACCACUUAGAAGAGGCAAGUCGUAACAUGGUAAGUAUACCGGAA
rnacentral:rRNA from 1 species